CCUUGCGGCCUCUCGGCGGAGCCGGCACGGCUUUUCUCCGCCGGAGGAAGGCGCUGGGUUCUCCGGUCCUGAGGACGGUGUCAUUGUCACGGCUGUAGGGCUGAGGAACGUGCUUUUCCAAACGUCAGGGUCACCGCAGAUUGCUGAAACAAGUAGCAGCCAAUUUUUAAUCCAGCAUUGAAUUAUUUGUGAGCCACAUUCAGUCUUCUGGAACUUUCAGACAGUCAACAACCUAUAUUGCCAAUUUCCUUACAGACUACAAAGUCAAGAGGAACCAAAAGCAAUCUCUGAGAUGUCCAUGCAGCUACCGAAUAGAGACAAUGCCUAAUCUUUACAAUAAAGAUGAGCUAGACUGAAGUAACUGGCCACUGACUAGAGUAAGUCAAAAGCAAUCAGCUUGCAAAGAACAAUCUCCAUCCUGUUUGAACCUGGGAUGAGGUCAGACACUAGUGAGUUGUUGCUGGAAUACAGAUGCCAGCUAAUCAAACAGAACCUGUCAAGGUAGUUCUACACACAACAGCUGUGGGGCUCCCACUGGCACCACAGACAUUUUCCUGUAUCUUGGUCUAUCUACAGAGCCUUCUCUGACAAGCAC